rnacentral:snRNA from 1 species
GGAUGUGAGGGCGAUCUGGCUGCGACAUCUGUCACCCCAUUGAUCGCCAGGGUUGAUUCGGCUGAUCUGGCUGGCUAGGCGGGUGUCCCCUUCCUCCCUCACCGCUCCAUGUGCGUCCCUCCCGAAGCUGCGCGCUCGGUCGAAGAGGACGACCAUCCCCGCUAGAGGAGGACCGUUCUUCGGUCAAGGGUAUACGAGUAGCUGCGCUCCCCUGCUAGAACCUCCAAACAAGCUCUCAAAUAAAGUACCCUGAAAAUAUUUAGUCCUUAUAAAAAAUAGAUAGCUCCAGCAUGAUUCAGUAAAUUAAUUAUAUAACUAGUGUUUAGUGAUUUUU